GCAUCAGUGGUUUAGUGGUAAAAUCCAUCGUUGCCAUCAAUGGGCCCCGCGUUCGAUUCGCGGCUGAUGCA
rnacentral:tRNA from 1 species